UGCAACCCGUUUAUUGUGCGACGACUCG
rnacentral:sRNA from 1 species